rnacentral:rRNA from 1 species
AGCGAACGCUGGCGGCAGGCCUAACACAUGCAAGUCGAACGAAGUCUUCGGACUUAGUGGCGGACGGGUGAGUAACACGUGGGAACGUACCUUUUGGUUCGGAACAACUCAGGGAAACUUGAGCUAAUACCGGAUGAGCCCUUAGGGGGAAAGAUUUAUCGCCGAAAGAGCGGCCCGCGUUAGAUUAGCUAGUUGGGGAGGUAAAGGCUCACCAAGGCUACGAUCUAUAGCUGGUCUGAGAGGAUGAUCAGCCACACUGGGACUGAGACACGGCCCAGACUCCUACGGGAGGCAGCAGUGGGGAAUCUUGCGCAAUGGGCGAAAGCCUGACGCAGCCAUGCCGCGUGGAUGAUGAAGGUCUUAGGAUUGUAAAAUUCUUUUACCAGGGACGAUAAUGACGGUACCUGGAGAAAAAGCCCCGGCUAACUUCGUGCCAGCCGCCGCGGUAAAAC